rnacentral:rRNA from 1 species
GACGAACGCUGGCGGCGUGCUUAACACAUGCAAGUCGAACGGUGAAGGGGCCUGCUUUUGUGGGCCCUGGAUGAGUGGCGAACGGGUGAGUAACACGUGAGUAACCUGCCCCCUUCUUCUGGAUAACCGCAUGAAAGUGUGGCUAAUACGGGAUAUUCUGGGUCUGUCGCAUGAUGGGUCUGGGAAAGAUUGCGCCUUUGGGUGUUUUUGGUGGGGGAUGGGCUCGCGGCCUAUCAGCUUGUUGGUGGGGUGAUGGCCUACCAAGGCGGUGACGGGUAGCCGGGCUGAGAGGGUGGACGGUCACACUGGGACUGAGACACGGCCCAGACUCCUACGGGAGGCAGCAGUGGGGAAUAUUGCACAAUGGGCGCAAGCCUGAUGCAGCGACGCCGCGUGAGGGAUGGAGGCCUUCGGGUUGUAAACCUCUUUCGCCAGUGAAGCAGGCCUGCUCCUUGUGGGUGGGUUGACGGUAGCUGGAUAAGAAGCGCCGGCUAACUACGUG